UGUAUUCUAUCGUAUUAAAGUUAUUUACAAUCAAUAUUUUUACGCAAUAAAAGUAUAUGUUAUAAAUAAAUUUAGAAAAGGACAGAAUAUCUUAAAUAAACUUUUUUAAAUUUGUACGAGAUAAAAAUUCAGAUAUCUUAGUAAUAUUUUGAAUAGAUGUCGAUUUUAAAAGAUCAAGAGCUUUAGUAUUAUGAAAUAUAAUGGUUCUAGUUAAGUUAAAAUAGGGAUAAACUUCUAAUAAGUGAGUUGUGGAAAAGGAAGAUGAGUUGCAGUAUGGGCAAGAUUGUAAUCUGUGACCAGUAAAUAAAUGAGAAUGUGUUAUUGCUGUAUGGCCUAAGCGAAGACGUACAAAAACCUUGAUGUCGUGACAGCGUCCUGAGGGUGGAUAAAUAGCUUUUUUCCCAUCUUCGUUGCAGAAGGCGUAAUGAUGUACCUCAUUUUUCCAAGCAUUAUAUUUUAAAAUUUUUUGCUGAUUUUUCGUCUGAUUAGACGAAGUAUAUCAUUUUUUUUUUCGAUAUAUUCAAACAUAAUCAAUGGCUGUUUUGUAGCGAAUUAGCAAUCUGAUCGGCACGUUCAUUACCGGUAAUGCCAGCGUGUCCUGGGACCCACACAAUUUUUAUAUUUAUGUUACCAAUAAGUAUGUCUCGAAUUUGCGAAAUGAGCCUUGAGCAAGAGUUACUGCAUUAUAUAUGGCUGCUGCCUCAGCAGUAUAUACUGAACAGUAAUUGGGUAACUGCACAACCUUUAACGUGUUGCCAAUGUCGUCAAUAAUAGCAAAAGACGUGUGGAAUUCGUUUUUAGAAGCGUCGGUAAAAAUAAGUUUCCAAUCUACAUAAUGUUGCACUAAGAGUUCUUUGAAUAAACUUUGGUAAACCCGCGA